AUUGAACGCUGGCGGCAGGCUUAACACAUGCAAGUCGAGCGGAGCGAGGGUGCUUGCACCUUAGCUUAGCGGCGGACGGGUGAGUAAUGCUUAGGAAUCUGCCUAUUAGUGGGGGACAACAUUCCGAAAGGAAUGCUAAUACCGCAUACGCCCUACGGGGGAAAGCAGGGGAUCUUCGGACCUUGCGCUAAUAGAUGAGCCUAAGUCGGAUUAGCUAGUUGGUGGGGUAAAGGCCUACCAAGGCGACGAUCUGUAGCGGGUCUGAGAGGAUGAUCCGCCACGCUGGGACUGAGACACGGCCCAGACUCCUACGGGAGGCAGCAGUGGGGAAUAUUGGACAAUGGGCGGAAGCCUGAUCCAGCCAUGCCGCGUGUGUGAAGAAGGCCUUUUGGUUGUAAAGCACUUUAAGCGAGGAGGAGGCUACUUAGAUUAAUACUCUGGGAUAGUGGACGUUACUCGCAGAAUAAGCACCGGCUAACUCUGUGCCAGCAGCCGCAGUAAUAC
rnacentral:rRNA from 1 species